rnacentral:rRNA from 1 species
AUGGUUUUGAUUUGAAAGGCGCUUUCGGGUGUCGCUGAUGGAUGGACCCGCGGUGCAUUAGCUAGUUGGUGAGGUAACGGCUCACCAAGGCCACGAUGCAUAGCCGACCUGAGAGGUGAUCGGCCACAUUGGGACUGAGACACGGCCCAAACUCCUACGGGAGGCAGCAGUAGGGAAUCUUCGGCAAUGGACGAAAGUCUGACCGAGCAACGCCGCGUGAGUGAAGAAGGUUUUCGGAUCGUAAACUCUGUUGUUAGAGAAGACAGGAUGAGAGUAACUGUUCAUCCCUGCGGUAUCUAACCAGAAAGCCACGGCAAUACGUGCCAGCAGCCCGGUAAUACGUAGGUGGCAAGCGUUGUCCGGAUUUAUUGGGCGUAAAGCGAGCGCAGCGGUUUCUUAAGUCUGAUGUGAAAGCCCCCGGCUCAACCGGGGAGGGUCAUUGGAAACUGGGAGACUUGAGUGCAGAAGAGGGGAGUGGAUUCCAUGUGUAGCGGUGAAAUGCGUAGAUAUAUGGAGGAACACCAGUGGCGAAGGCGGCUCUCUGGUCUGUAAC